rnacentral:rRNA from 1 species
UACGAAGGGGGCUAGCGUUGCUCGGAAUCACUGGGCGUAAAGGGUGCGUAGGCGGUUCUUUAAGUCAGGGGUGAAAUCCUGGAGCUCAACUCCAGAACUGCCUUUGAUACUGAAGAUCUUGAGUUCGGGAGAGGUGAGUGGAACUGCGAGUGUAGAGGUGAAAUUCGUAGAUAUUCGCAAGAACACCAGUGGCGAAGGCGGCUCACUGUCCCGAUACUGACGCUGAGGCACGAAAGCGUGGGGAGCAAACAGG